AACCCCUUCAAGCCAAAUUUCAAGCCCUAGGCUCCCAAAAAUUAUGAAGACAAGAAAAUUAAUUUUUUUUCUUACCUAGAAGCAACGAGAAGACAAAGCAAACAACGAAAGACAAUCCUUUGCAUGGGCAAGAUGUAAAAGAUUGCUAGAGGAGGGGGAACAAAUAUCCUCUAAGCUCUCUCUCUCUCUCUCUCUUGUAGGGUAGAAUAAAUUACUCUCCAAAGUUGAUUUAAUAAUCCACUUAAGGUAGACUUAAAUAGGGUUUGAGAGAAAUUUAUUUCCCUUUCCAAGAAAGAUCUAAUUUCCUAUUAAAGAGGGAAUCUACAUCAAAAUAGGAAACAAUCCUAUGUUUCCCAAAGCAAGAAAAUCUCUACACCUAUUGCCUUUUUCUACAAGUAGCCCAACAAGUGUGGGGGCAUUUGUGGAGAAAAAAAUAAUCAAAAGGCGACACGUGGAUUUUUGGGUUAAAAGGACAAAAUUACCCUCAGGGAACACCGAAAUUCUUACACUCGAGCAGUGGACAAUCAUCCCUCAAUCAAGUCAAAAGUGCCCAAAAUAGGUAUUUAUUUAUAACCUAUUUCAUCCAUCCUCAUCAUAUCUUCUCCACAAGAUAACCCCCAUAUCAUUCCUCUUUUAAUUAAUUAAUUAUUCCAUUAAUUAGCUAAUUAACCACAAAUCAAGAACCUAACCCACAAAAUCAUCCAAGUGGAAGGUCCAUCUCCACCCAAAGAAGCCAACCACACCCUUAUAUAAACCCCCUCAUUCUCUCCAAAACUAAACUCUAAUUCUCUUGGUAAAUUCUCUAAAUUCUCUAAACACUUUCCUUCAAAAUUUUAACUUUAGCAUCAGAGGUUCU
rnacentral:lncRNA from 1 species